rnacentral:rRNA from 1 species
UACGUAGGGGGCUAGCGUUGUCCGGAAUCAUUGGGCGUAAAGCGCGUGUAGGCGGUCCGGUAAGUCCGCUGUGAAAGUCGAGGGCUCAACCCUCGAAUGCCGGUGGAUACUGUCGGGCUUGAGUACGGGAGAGGCGAGUGGAAUUCCUGGUGUAGCGGUGAAAUGCGCAGAUAUCAGGAAGAAUAUCCGUGGCGAAGGCGGCUCUCUGGGACGGUACUGACGCUGAGACGCGAAAGCGUGGGGAGCGAACAGG